rnacentral:tRNA from 1 species
CCCAGGUAGCUCAAUGGUAGAGCUCCUGCAUAUAUUAAGCGAAAAUGCAUAGCAACAACUAGCAGGUGGUCGCAGGUUCGAAUCCUGCCCGGUGGCU